rnacentral:rRNA from 1 species
AGCGAACGCUGGCGGCAGGCCUAACACAUGCAAGUCGAACGAACCCUUCGGGGUUAGUGGCGGACGGGUGAGUAACACGUGGGAACGUGCCUUUAGGUUCGGAAUAACUCAGGGAAACUUGUGCUAAUACCGAAUGUGCCCUUCGGGGGAAAGAUUUAUCGCCUUUAGAGCGGCCCGCGUCUGAUUAGCUAGUUGGUGAGGUAACGGCUCACCAAGGCGACGAUCAGUAGCUGGUCUGAGAGGAUGACCAGCCACACUGGGACUGAGACACGGCCCAGACUCCUACGGGAGGCAGCAGUGGGGAAUCUUGCGCAAUGGGCGAAAGCCUGACGCAGCCAUGCCGCGUGAAUGAUGAAGGUCUUAGGAUUGUAAAAUUCUUUCACCGGGGACGAUAAUGACGGUACCCGGAGAAGAAGCCCCGGCUAACUUCGUGCCAGCCGCCGCGGUAAGAC